rnacentral:misc_RNA from 1 species
AAACAAGCUAGGAAAGCCUAUAAAACCAAAGAGACUUGAUUUUGACUUAGGGAUUCCGCUAUUUCUAUCUUUUUCUAGUUUUAAAAUUGGACAAUGGUUAAACCCGAUUAAAUUAGUUGCCCAAUUGGUUAUCGGUAUUUUCCUGCCCAACAAAAUUACAUUAUUGUUCUUAGCUUAUCCGCAUGAUCGCAGGAGAGAGCAUCUUUGG